rnacentral:rRNA from 1 species
AGAGUUUGAUCAUGGCUCAGAAUCAACGCUGGCGGCAUGCCUAACACAUGCAAGUCGAGCGAGAAAGGGUAGCAAUACCUGAGUAAAGCGGCGCACGGGUGAGUAACACGUGGAUAACCUGCCUCAAAGUGGGGAAUAACACCGGGAAACCGGUGCUAAUACCGCAUAUUCUGAUGAAGUCUGAGGAUUUUGUCAGUAAAGGAGCAAUUCGCUAUGAGAGGGGUCCGCGGCUGAUUAGCUAGUUGGUGAGGUAAUGGCUCACCAAGGCAACGAUCAGUAGCCGGUCUGAGAGGACGGUCGGCCACACUGGAACUGAGACACGGUCCAGACUCCUACGGGAGGCAGCAGUGGGGAAUUUUUCGCAAUGGGGGCAACCCUGACGAAGCAAUGCCGCGUGGAUGAUGAAGUAUUUCGGUACGUAAAAUCCUUUCGACGGGGACGAAACCGCAAGGUUGACGGUACCCGUAGAAGAAGCCCCGGCUAACUCCGUGCCAGCAGCCGCGGUA